rnacentral:rRNA from 1 species
AUACGGGAGGCAGCAGUGGGGAAUUUUGGACAAUGGACGCAAGUCUGAUCCAGCCAUUCCGCGUGCAGGACGAAGGCCUUCGGGUUGUAAACUGCUUUUGUACAGAACGAAAAAGUCUCUAUUAAUACUAGGGGUUCAUGACGGUACUGUAAGAAUAAGCACCGGCUAACUACGUGCCAGCAGCCGCGGUAAUACGUAGGGUGCAAGCGUUAAUCGGAAUUACUGGGCGUAAAGCGUGCGCAGGCGGUUAUAUAAGACAGAUGUGAAAUCCCCGGGCUCAACCUGGGAGCUGCAUUUGUGACUGUAUAGCUGGAGUGCGGCAGAGGGGGAUGGAAUUCCGCGUGUAGCAGUGAAAUGCGUAGAUAUGCGGAGGAACACCGAUGGCGAAGGCAAUCCCCUGGGCCUGCACUGACGCUCAUGCACGAAAGCGUGGGGAGCAAACAGGAUUAGAUACCCGUGUAGUCA